CCAGAAAUAGAUCUAAAGAUACAUCGACAUGUCCUCCAUUAUUGCCAACUGCCAAAGCAAAUACAACUUCCUGGGCCGCCACCCCCCGGCGCAUUACUGUAUAGUACAUAAUGACUCUUCACUCAACUUUGACGCAGGCUUGGUUGUUUCUUUGGGUAAGAGCUAAACGCCGGUCAGCAAAUCAAUUGAUUAAUCAUGUUUAAUCGGGUCACUCACAUUCACCAUCCUCGCGUGCAUGGGCAUUAAUACACCGCCGGGGAAGGAAGUCCCUUCUGGGAAGUACCUGAUAAUUUGAGUGUCAGCCUACGCUAAUUGAAAAACAAGAGCGAUCACGUAUGCUUACCCGCCAUAUCGCACGACUGUCAUAGGCUGCAUGGAAGCUCCAAGAGGGAGAAUCGUGCCCGCAGGAACAUAAAACCCCUCACUACUUUUCUUCAAGAUAUUAUCCAAGCAAGCAUCGCCGUUCUAAUAACUGGUCACUUCUGACAUCUUGCCACUCAAGACUUUUCGUAUGUUUUCGGCUGAGCGUACUUACGAAUUCUAGAUGAGUCCAGCUAGGCUUCCACUCUCCUUCUUUGAAAUAAUCUUUUUCAAGGGUCUUGCCACCAAACAGCUCUUCGACCGUUGCAGGGUCACUUUUACUUAAGUACUCUUUACGCUUCGCUUUCGACUUUUCUUCCUUGUUACUGGCUGACGAGCUCGAUGGCAUAAUCCUUAUCUUGGGAUCUAAGGAUUCCUUGAAAAAGUCUAAUGGGUGACCAAAAGGUUGAAACACCCAUUGAUGGGUUUAGCCGAAAUACGGUGGGCGAACGAGUUGUAGACACUUCCUUUCAUGAGUAACUUCUGCACUUUGAACGCUUUUCCUUUGCUCUCCCCAAUAUUUAACAUCCUUUAUCCUUCUAAAGCAGCCGUUUGUCAAGCACUUGAAAGGGGUUGUUUCCGAAUACAAGGAUUUGAUUGAGCAUCUCCACGACCCGCAAAUUGGGUACAAGAAUAUGACGUUGCCAUUCCCCGAAGGGCUGGGAAUGAGUAUUUAUACCAGGAGAAAAGUGUGUUUCGGAGGGAAUCAUAGGAUGACUAUGCAUCCAAAACUCGAAAUGAAGUAAUUAUGAAUUGUAUCG
rnacentral:sRNA from 1 species